rnacentral:rRNA from 1 species
AGUGAACGCUGGCGGUAGGCCUAACACAUGCAAGUCGAACGGCAGCACAGUAAGAGCUUGCUCUUACGGGUGGCGAGUGGCGGACGGGUGAGGAAUACAUCGGAAUCUACUUUUUCGUGGGGGAUAACGUAGGGAAACUUACGCUAAUACCGCAUACGACCUACGGGUGAAAGCAGGGGAUCUUCGGACCUUGCGCGAUUGAAUGAGCCGAUGUCGGAUUAGCUAGUUGGCGGGGUAAAGGCCCACCAAGGCGACGAUCCGUAGCUGGUCUGAGAGGAUGAUCGGCCAAACAGGGACGAAGACACGGUCAAGAUGCCUACGGGAGGCAGCAGGGGGGGAUAUGGGGAAGUGGGCGCAAGCCUGAUACGGCCAUACCGAGUGGAUGAAGAAGGCCUUCGGGUUGUAGAGGCCUUUUGGGGGGAAAGAAAAGAAGAAGGUUAAUACCCCGCUGUUCUGACGGUACCCAAAGAAUAAACACCGGCUAACUUCGU